rnacentral:rRNA from 1 species
AGAGUUUGAUCCUGGCUCAGAACGAACGCUGGCGGCGUGCCUAACACAUGCAAGUCGAGCGCCUCGCAAGAGGAGCGGCAGACGGGUGAGUAACGCGUGGGAAUCUACCGUGCCCUAAGGAAUAGCUCCGGGAAACUGGAAUUAAUACCUUAUACGCCCUUCGGGGGAAAGAUUUAUCGGGGUAUGAUGAGCCCGCGUUGGAUUAGCUAGUUGGUGGGGUAAAGGCCUACCAAGGCGACGAUCCAUAGCUGGUCUGAGAGGAUGAUCAGCCACAUUGGGACUGAGACACGGCCCAAACUCCUACGGGAGGCAGCAGUGGGGAAUAUUGGACAAUGGGCGCAAGCCUGAUCCACCCAUGCCGCGUGAGUGAUGAAGGCCCUAGGGUUGUAAAGCUCUUUCACCGCGUGAAGAUNAUGACGGUNACCGGAGUAAGAAGCCCCGGCUAACUUCGUGCCAGCAGCCGCGGNUAAUACGAAGGGGGCUAGCGUUUGUUCGGGAAUUACUGGGGCGUAAAGCGCACGUACGCGGGAUAUUUAAGGUCNGGGGUGAAAUCCCAGAGCUCAACUCUGGAACUGCCCUUUGAUACUGGGUAUNUCGUAGUAUGGANGANGGUGAGGUGGANUNCCUAUUGUCCAGGUNNNNUUCGCUANAUAUNCGGACGAACACCAGUGGCNANGGCNGANUCAC